CGUAGGUGGCAAGCGUUGUCCGGAUUUAUUGGGUUUAAAGGGUGCGUAGGCGGCUUUGUAAGUCAGUGGUGAAAUAUGGCAGCUCAACUGUCAGGGUGCCAUUGAUACUGCAGAGCUUGAGUACAGAUGAGGUAGGCGGAAUUGACGGUGUAGCGGUGAAAUGCUUAGAUAUCGUCAAGAACACCGAUAGCGAAGGCAGCUUACUGGGCUGUAACUGACGCUGAGGCACGAAAGUGUGGGGAUCAAACAGG
rnacentral:rRNA from 1 species